rnacentral:rRNA from 1 species
GCAACCGUGAGUACACGUGGGUAAUCUUCCCUUGAGUUGGGAACAACACUUCGAAAGAGGUGCUAAUACCGAAUAAGACCACAGAGACGUAUGUCUAAGUGGUUAAAGCUAGGGACCCGCAAGGGCCUAGCGCUUAAGGAUGAGCCCGUGUCCUAUCAGCUUGUUGGUGAGGUAAUGGCUCACCAAGGCUUUUGACGGGUAGCUGGUCUGAGAGGAUAGUCAGCCACACUGGGACUGAGACACUGCCCAGACUCCUACGGGAGGCUGCAGUCGAGAAUCUUUCGCAAUGGGGGAAACCCUGACGAAGCGACGCCGCAUGGGCGAUGAGGGCCUUCGGGUUGUAAAGCCCUGUCACGAGGAACGAAUGCACAAUAGGUAAUACCUUGAGUGUUUGACGGUACCUCGAGAGGAAGCCACGGCUAACUCCGUGCCAGCAGCCGCGGUAAUACGGAGGUGGCAAGCGUUGUUCGGAUUCAUUGGGUGUAAAGGGCAUGUAGGUGGCCUUUUAAGUCGAUUGUGAAAGCCCUCAGCUUAACUGAGGAAUUGCAAUCGAUACUGAGAGGCUUGAGUACAGAAGAGGAAAGCGGAAUUCCCGGUGUAAGGGUGAAAUCUGUAGAGAUCGGGAGGAACACCAGUGGCGAAGGCGGCUUUCUGGUCUGUAACUGACACUGAAAUGCGAAAGCUAGGGGAGCAAACAGGAUUAGAUACCCUGGUAGUCCUAGCCGUGAACGAUGGG